GACGAACGCUGGCGGCGUGCUUAACACAUGCAAGUCGAACGGUAAGGCCCUUCGGGGUACACGAGUGGCGAACGGGUGAGUAACACGUGGGUUAUCUGCCCUGCACUUCGGGAUAAGCCUGGGAAACUGGGUCUAAUACCGGAUAGGACCACUGCCUGCAUGGUCGGUGUUGGAAAGCUUUUGCGGUGUGGGAUGGGCCCGCGGGCUAUCAGCUUGUUGGUGGGGGGAUCGCCUCCCAAGGCGACGACGGGUAGCCGGCCUGAGAGGGUGACCGGCCACACUGGGACUGAGAUACGGCCCAGACUCCUACGGGAGGCAGCAGUGGGGAGUAUUGCGCAAUGGGCGCAAGCCUGAUGCAGCGACGCCGCGUGAGGUAUGUCGGCCUUCGGGUUGUAAACCUCUUUCAGCACCGACGAAGCGCAAGUGACGGUAGGUGCAGAAGAAGGACCGGCCAACUACGUGCCAGCCGCCGCGGUAA
rnacentral:rRNA from 1 species